UACGGGGGGGGCAAGCGUUGUUCGGAAUUACUGGGCGGAAAGCGCACGUAGGCGGAUUUGUAAGUCAGGGGUGAAAUCCCGAGGCUCAACCUCGGAACUGCCUUUGAUACUGCAAAUCUCGAGUCCGGAAGAGGUGAGUGGAAUUCCUAGUGUAGAGGUGAAAUUCGUUGAUAUUAGGAAGAACACCAGUGGCGAAGGCGGCUCACUGGUCCGGUACUGACGCUGAGGUGCGAAAGCGUGGGGAGCAAACAGG
rnacentral:rRNA from 1 species